AGCAGCCGCGGUAAUUCCAGCUCCAAUAGCGUAUAUUAAAGUUGCUGCAGUUAAAAAGCUCGUAGUUGAAUUUCGGGAUCAAUAUGUUGGUCGUGCCUCGGUACGUACUAGCUUAUUGGUUUCUCCCUUCUGACGAACCAUAAUGUCAUUUAUUUGGUGUUAUGGGGAAUCAGGACUGUUACUUUGAAAAAUUAGAGUGUUUAAAGCAGGCUCACGCUUGAAUACAUUAGCAUGGAAUAAUGAAAUAGGACGUUUGAUUCUAUUUUGUUGGUUUCUAGGAUCGACGUAAUGAUUAAUAGGGAUAGUUGGGGGCAUUAGUAUUCAAUUGUCAGGGGUGAAAUUCUUGGAUUUAUUGAAGACUAACUACUGCGAAAGCAUUUGCCAAGGAUGUUUUCAUUAAUCAAGAACGAAAGUUAGGGGAUCGAAGACGAUCAGAUACCGUCGUAGUCUUAACCAUAAACUAUGCCGACUAGGGAUCGGAUGAUGUUAAUUUUUAAUGACUCAUUCGGCGCCUUACGGG
rnacentral:misc_RNA from 1 species